GAAAAACUCCCACUCAAACAGGGGGAGAGUGAGAUCUGAGUGUUAGCGAAACAGAGAUUCAGAGAGAAGACAGAGCUCGCCACUGAAACCCUAAGUUUGCCACCAUAGCCAUUGCCGCCUCUGUCGUCACUGCAGUUCAUCUCCUCUCCAGAUCUGGUUGAUCACAACGUUAAAGCCUUUGAGUUAUUCAAUGUUCUUGUGCCUUUGAUGCGUCUUAAAUCGGCACCCAAUGAUCAUCAUGUUCUUCUUGAGGGAACCCUCCUCAAGCCCAACAUGGAUACCUCUGGCUCUGAUAGCCCAAAGAACACCUUGCACAUAUCCAGGCAAAAACAUUGCCUUCUGUGUCAAUGAAGGUUCUACACCCUUUUUGGCUAUCACUCUUGACAGAGUGAGAUGAUAGAGAUAGAGACAUCAGCUCCAUGUAUUUACAAGAAGUACUUAUUUGGAGAGAUUUUUCACGGAGAAGGUCCUGAUUGGCAAGAGUUUGUCAGAAUUUUAGGCCUACUAGUAAUAAACUCAAUAAUAAAUUUCAUAGAAGAAAAUAAUGCUGAUAAUGCUGCAACAACACUAAUGGCUCGUUUAGCUCCUAAAACAAAGGUUCUAAGGGAUGGGCAGUGGCAACAGAAAAAUGCAGCCACAAUUUAAAAGGGUGUAAUGAUGACUACUUGAUCCUUGUUAAUUUUCAUACUAGAAUUUUAUUUAAAUAUUAUAUGAGUAUUGGAAAGGUG